rnacentral:lncRNA from 1 species
GAUGAAAUCUAUGAAGGGUUUUACUGGGCAUGCAUGGUGUGUGGAGGCCAGGACGGUGGGAGGGCUCCCGGCCAGCGGAGCCCGGGGCAGACGCACGCACGCUCCGCAUGUCCAAGGCCCCGGUUACAAUUAGACAUUAAUAUGUCCAACGUGGGUAUUUACACACCUCUCCAGAGACGACGCUGAUGGCUAUCGGCGACCACGCUGGCUGAAAAGAGGGUAUUGAUCUGGGGGGAAGAGAGGUCACUGUCUUGUUGUUGUUAUUUUCUUUUAACCCAAACCUAUAAAGCACUGAAAUCCAUAAACCCCCAUUCUGUUCCCAGGCUGCAGAGUGACACCCAACCCUGGCUGUGGUCUCGGCGGCCUGGUCAAUACGGCUCCAUUAGAGCCACUCGCCCCGGGCCUACCCGGGCUCUGUCCACCCCCAUGGCUGUCCAGAUGAACAUGUGCCUAGGCAUUUAACUCUGCAGCCAUUAGGAUCACAUUGCCAGCCGACUGACCAGCCAUCGACCUCAGGAAAGCACGCUCAGAGGGCAGCAGGGGACAUGGUGACAGCUUCUGCUGGCCUGAGGGCAGAAGCCACCUCCCUUUCCAGGGUCAUCCUUCUGGGCACAGAAUCCGUGUGAUGUGGCUGCAGGGAGAACAGGCUGUGGAAGGAACUGUACUGCGGGAUCCCAGGCCUGUGGGCACACCUGGCCGUGACACCAGCCUCUCCCUGUUGGCACCGCCCGAGCUGGCCUCCUCAGCACGGGGGGCCCAGGUGAGCGGGCGCAGCUGCUCACAGGCCGUGCAGGCCCUCGAGGCUCCGACCUGGCAGGUGAGACGGAAGGUGGAGGAAUUGCUGCUACUUGUGAAGGUCCCAUGGAGACCCCGUGAAUGACCCGGCUGGGCUGGCCCUGCCCACUGCCCGCGUCCUCUCCACCUCCCAGUCAGCAAAGAGAAUGAAGGAGAAGGAAGGGGCCGGUGGACGGGCCGUCAGGAAUGGGUAUCUGCGCGGGAAGACCAGCCUUAGCCACGGUGGCCCCACACGCAGAGGGCCCUGGCCACCAAGCAGAGGAGCUGGACACCUUGGGGAAGGGGCAGGGAGAGG